rnacentral:lncRNA from 1 species
GUGUUUCAAAUUCAGGCUGGUUGCCCCUUUACUCCACCAAUCCUCUUAAGGGAACUCUAAAGUAGAAGUCAUAUAAACAAAUUCUGCACAGUGACGCAAACGGGGACACGAGGUUAGGAAGAGUUGGUGAAAAUAAGCACAGAGCGGGGGCACAGGGUGCAGGAAAAUGUCAACGACAAUGAAAAAGGCACAAGGUUCUUCAGCUAGCCACUAAAAUGAUCCAGUGCCUUGUCUACCCUAACUGGCAAUGGUUCUUCAGGAUGGUGUUUCACUUCAGCCACCACUUAAUCCAUUUAGUGGGAGAUAUGCCAGGCAAUGAAAGGAGGACCUAUGGAGAGCUUGAUAUCUGCCCUGGUCUGCUGGAAAGAGUAAGAGCCACCCCACACUCCAUGUUUUUAUGUGUUCACAAAAAUUGCUUUGCUGUAAACACGUGUACAACUGGCAAAAGUGGCGCUGGGGGUAGCAACUCAUGUUGGAAGUGUUCUCAGCAACCUGGAACUUUUUUUCAUAUGUGGUGGACAUGCAAUAAAGUAAAAAGAUUUUGGAGACAGAUAAAAGAUAUUACACAGGAAAUUAUAUAACAAAAAAUAGCGUUUAAACCAGAAAUAUUUUUGCUGAAUAUAAUGCCAGAUAUCAUUGAUAAAAAUUAAAUAUAUGUUGCUGCACAUAUUUACAGCUGCAAGGCCCUAAAAUGGAAACAUCAGGAAAAUCCAAAGAUAGAGGAGCUGUUUAAAAAAUUAUUAGAUAUUACCGAAAUGGAUAGCUUAUCAGAGGCAUUACAUGAGAACCUGAGAACAUAUGUUAGAGAAAGCUGGAAAAUGUUUUAUUGGGCUCAGAAACAAACAUGAGUAGAGAAUAUAAUACAGGUUAUGGAUUUUAGUAUUGAACACAGCCAUGGAGUCAAGAUUAUAUUAGAUAUUGUAUUAUUGCAAUACUUCCCAGUGUUUAUGCUUUGUUUUGUUUUACCUCCCUCCCCCCCCAUAUUUGUAUCCCUUUGAUUGUUGUUUGUUUGUGUGUUAUAUAAUAAUAAAAUUCAAUAUAAAAAACGAAAGAAACA